rnacentral:rRNA from 1 species
AUUGAACGCUGGCGGCAUGCUUUACACAUGCAAGUCGAACGGCAGCGCGGGCUUCGGCCUGGCGGCGAGUGGCGAACGGGUGAGUAAUACAUCGGAACGUGCCCAGUAGUGGGGGAUAGCUCGGCGAAAGACGGAUUAAUACCGCAUACGACCUGAGGGUGAAAGCGGGGGAUCUUCGGACCUCGCGCUAUUGGCGCGGCCGAUGGCAGAUUAGCUAGUUGGUGGGGUAAAGGCCUACCAAGACGACGAUCUGUAGCUGGUCUGAGAGGACGAGCAGCCACACUGGGACUUAGACACGGCCCAGACUCCUACGGGAGGCAGCAGUGUGGAAUUUUGGACAAUGGGCGAAAGCCUAAUCCAGCAAUGCCGCGUGUGUGAUGAAGGCCUUCGGGUUGUAAAGCACUUUUGGCGGGAACGAAAAGGACUGUGCCAAGACCACGGUUCGAUGACGGUACCCGCAGAAUAAGCACCGGCUAACUACGUG